GUGGUGUCCCCAGCAUUCAGCGUCCCGGAACAAAGACUUUCUGAACUCUCAGACUUCCUGAUCAGGAACCUGUUUCUUCAUGUGAACCAGUUCAGAUGUAGUGGGACCUCAGGGAUGUAGUCUAAAGAAAACACAGAGAACUCUGAGCCUCCAGUCACAGUGAAAGUCUUCC